rnacentral:rRNA from 1 species
GAUGAACGCUGGCGGCGUGCCUAACACAUGCAAGUCGAACGGGGCAUAAGUGAAGUUUUCGGACGGAUCUUAUGCUUAGUGGCGGACGGGUGAGUAACGCGUGGACAACCUGCCUCUCACUGGGGGAUAGCAGCCGGAAACGGCUGGUAAUACCGCAUGCGCUCCAUGCGCCGCAUGGCGGAUGGAGGAAAGAUUUAUCGGUGAGAGAUGGGUCCGCGUCUGAUUAGCCAGUUGGCGGGGUAACGGCCCACCAAAGCGACGAUCAGUAGCCGGCCUGAGAGGGCGGACGGCCACAUUGGGACUGAGACACGGCCCAGACUCCUACGGGAGGCAGCAGUGGGGGAUAUUGCACAAUGGGCGCAAGCCUGAUGCAGCGACGCCGCGUGAGUGAAGAAGUAUUUCGGUAUGUAAAGCUCUAUCAGCAGGGAAGAAAAGCCCCGUCAAGGGGGUAUGACGGUACCUGACCAAGAAGCCCCGGCUAACUACGUGCCAGCAGCCGCGGUAAUACGUAGGGGGCCAAGCGUUAUCCGGAUUUACUGGGUGUAAAGGGAGCGCAGACGGAUGUGCCAGUCUGAUGUGAAAGCCCGGGGCCCAACGCGGGACUGCAUCGGAUACUGUACAUCUGGAGUGCCGGAGGGGCAAGCGGAAUUCCUGGUGUAGCGGUGAAAAUGCGUAGAUAUCAGGAGGAACACCGGCGGCGAAGGCGGCUUGCU